ensembl:lncRNA
AGCUGAUUGAAUAAUAACUGAAAGCUACUGUCAAAAAACAAACUUUCAACUAUUUGAUUGUCUUUUAUCAACUAUCCAUGAACUAGGCAGCACUCAGUGCACAAAAUAAAAAGAACUGUCUGAGAGCUACACAGCAUGGGUGAUUCCUGGCCAUCUCUUCAGUGAAGGAAGGGAUCUGGCCAGUUCAUCUUCUAAUCCUGUGUCCCAACAUCAUGAAAUACGAGGACUGUAAUAUUGAUUAUGGCCAAAGCAGGCUGUGAAGAGUUAACCUCACAGUUGGCUUGUUUAUGGAGAAAAUCCUGAGAACUUUAAAUCAACUUUGAAAAGCCAAACAUAAGCUGGGUGUGACAGUGCACACUUGUAAUCCCAGCACUCUGGGAAGCCAAGGCAAGAAGAUCACAAGUUCAAGGCCAACCUGGACAACCUGGACAACUUAGCAACUUAGUUGGGAUCCUGUCUCAAAAUAAAAAGGACUGAGGAUGUAGCUCAGUGUGAAGGCCCUGGAUUCAAUUCCCAGUACUGGGGGCUGGGUGAGAAAGAAAGAUGUCUACACUCUCUAGAAACUCAUUCAGGAUUUCCACAUGUGUCUCGUAUAUGAUCCUGGUGAUCAAACUAGGCUUCUAUGGAACACCAUUUUCCCCCCACAACUUUAGUCAGAG